rnacentral:snRNA from 1 species
UUGUGUUAGUUCGCUAAACACAAUUAUACUAAAAUCUGGAACGAUACAGAGAAAGAUUAGGCAUGGCCCCUCUGCGCAAGGGAUGACGACGCAAAAUUCGUGAAGCGUUCCUCAUUUGC